rnacentral:lncRNA from 1 species
UUUUGUAUAUGUAUUAUCAGACUCUAGAAACUCAAGUGACUAUUUAAAUUUUAUAGUUUUGUAUUGUUUUGUUAUAUUUUGAAAAUAUAUUUGUUAUGAAGUUUGGUAAUACCGAAAAACCGACAUCCGAAGUUGGUAAGAUUUAUCUCAUACCGAAGUUUUUGGUUUGGUAAUUGAAAGUCAUAUUUCAUUACCGAAAGCUUUGGUUUUGAAGUUGGUAACGCCCAUUAUCGAUUCGAACCGACCGAGUGGCAGCCCUAAUUUGAACCCAUCACAUUUCACGGCUUUUCAGCCGUAUGCUUCCACCAACUUAUAUUUAAAAAAGCUAAUAAUGUAUUCUCUUCUAAAUGAAGGAGUCGAUCAACUUGAAAGAAAAUUAUAAGACACAUCACUUCCUCGAUCUCCUCCGGACGAUGUGGGAUCUCACACACUUGAAAGUCUUUUUUCUCUUUUUUUUAGAGGAAAAACACUUAGAAGUCUUUCAUAAAUCAUAAUUAUUACUGUGUAUUAUGGUAGGCAUGUUUAGGGCCUGGUCAUUACAUUAGUUUCCUAUGAGGCUUAUUUUGGAGAACAGUUCUGGUGUCUACCCGGGAGGUCAGUCUACCCGGGCUGUUUCAUACGUAUCCAAUACGGUUCCGUCCCGUAUCCGUGACUGCAGAGGUUAAGUAUUGAUACGUUUGAGAUUUUGUUACCGUCUCUACUGUUCAGCACGCGUGUUGCACGAUGACUUCCUCUAAAUUGUGAUUCCUCUUCUGAAUUGAAAUCUAGGGUUUUCAUGCGUCCAACAAAGUUUGUAGUUUGAUCCGUCCGUCCGAGCAAUAGAAAUUCAAUUGGGUUAUCCUUAAUUGUUGCCCAGCAACUCUCGGUUUGGGAUCUAGAACCCAUACAUAACUAUCAUGUUCUUGAGGGUGGAUGUUGAAAUUGGGAGGUGGUGGUUUGUGGGUUCUAGGGGAAUGUUUACAUUGGUUAUCUAGGAAGCAAGCGCGGCGACGAUCACGA